rnacentral:rRNA from 1 species
UGGGGAAUUUUCCGCAAUGGGCGCAAGCCUGACGGAGCAAUACCGCGUGAGGGAGGAAGGCCUUUGGGUUGUAAACCUCUUUUCUUAAGGAAGAAGAUCUGACGGUACUUAAGGAAUCAGCCCCGGCUAACUCCGUGCCAGCAGCCGCGGUAAUACGGAGGGGGCUAGCGUUGUUCGGAAUUACUGGGCGUAAAGCGCGCGUAGGCGGACUUUCAAGUCAGGGGUGAAAUCCCGAGGCUCAACCUCGGAACUGCCUUUGAUACUGAUGGUCUUGAGUCCGAGAGAGGUGAGUGGAAUUCCUAGUGUAGAGGUGAAAUUCGUAGAUAUUAGGAAGAACACCAGUGGCGAAGGCGGCUCACUGGCUCGGUACUGACGCUGAGGCGCGAAAGCGUGGGGAGCAAACAGGAUUAGAUACCCGGGUAGUCC